AGGGUGCAAGCGUUGUCCGGAAUUAUUGGGCGUAAAGAGCUCGUAGGCGGUCUGUCGCGUCUGCUGUGAAAACUCAGGGCUUAACCCUGAGCUUGCAGUGGGUACGGGCAGACUAGAGUGCGGUAGGGGAGACUGGAAUUCCUGGUGUAGCGGUGAAAUGCGCAGAUAUCUGGAGGAACACCGGUGGCGAAGGCGGCAUCCUGGACCGACACUGACGCUGAGGAGCGAAAGCCAGGGGAGCGAACGGG
rnacentral:rRNA from 1 species